rnacentral:misc_RNA from 1 species
UCUCCGUAGGUGAACCUGCGGAGGGAUCAUUACAGAGUUCAUGCCCUACCGGGUAGAUCUCCCACCCUAUGUUAUUAUUUCUUUGUUGCUUUGGCGGGCCGUUAGGCUCCGGCCCGACUACCGGCCCCGGCUGGUAAGCGCCCGCCAGAGGACCCAAAACCCUGAAUAUUAGUGUCGUCUGAGUACUAUAUAAUAGUCAAAACUUUCAACAACGGAUCUCUUGGUUCUG